rnacentral:rRNA from 1 species
GUGAGGAAUAUUGCACAAUGGAGGAAACUCUGAUGCAGCAACGCCGCGUGGAGGAUGACGCAUUUCGGUGUGUAAACUCCUUUUAAGAGGGAAGAUUAUGACGGUACCUCUUGAAUAAGCACCGGCUAACUCCGUGCCAGCAGCCGCGGUAAUACGGAGGGUGCAAGCGUUACUCGGAAUCACUGGGCGUAAAGGGUGCGUAGGCUGACUUUUAAGUCAGGCGUGAAAUCCAAUGGCUUAACCAUUGAACUGCGCUUGAAACUGGGAGUCUAGAGUUCAGAAGGGGCAGAUGGAAUUAGUGGUGUAGGGGUAAAAUCCGUAGAUAUCACUAGGAAUAUCAAAAGCGAAGGCGAUCUGCUGGGAUGAUACUGACGCUGAGGCACGAAAGCGUGGGGAGCAAACAGGAUUAGAAACCCUUGUAGUCC